rnacentral:rRNA from 1 species
UACGAAGGGAGCUAGCGUUGUUCGGAAUCACUGGGCGUAAAGCGCACGUAGGCGGAUGUGUCAGUCAGGGGUGAAAUCCCGGAGCUCAACUUCGGAACUGCCUUUGAUACAGCACGUCUUGAGUCCGAUAGAGGUGGGUGGAAUUCCUAGUGUAGAGGUGAAAUUCGUAGAUAUUAGGAAGAACACCGGUGGCGAAGGCGGCCCACUGGGAUCGGUACUGACGCUGAGGUGCGAAAGCGUGGGGGAGCAAACAGG